rnacentral:misc_RNA from 1 species
CGCGCACCAGAUCGGAAAAGACGCCAUAGAUACUGUCGUCAGCAGCGUGGAUCUGCUGGAAAUUAUCUCGUGACAGCAGCAGCGCCUUGCCUGCCUCCGGAAUGUCGAGGUCGGCCGAUGCGAUCCAUUGAUCGGCGCGCAAAUCGCCAAGGUUGAAAUGCAGCCAGAGCAACCCGUCACCGCGCAGGUCGACCGGCUCAUCUACGUUCAGCGGUUCGGCACUUCCAUUGGCAUGAAUCCGGAACGCCCAUACCAGACCCGG